rnacentral:lncRNA from 1 species
CGCGAACCAAUCAGAAUUCCCAAAUUUUCCGACACUCUAGCUCCACCCCCAAGUAGUUCUAAAUUUACAUCCAAGGUUUGGAAGUCUCCUACUUGACCAAAACGCCGAGGUUGUGUGAAAUGCGGUGGCUGUCGCUCACUACAAACUCCUCCUAGCACCUACACCCCAGCACCGCCCCUUCGGAUGGUUGUGACUACGUGUGUUUCUUCCUCUCAGUUAGUGAGGAGUUGAAGAUCCCAUGGGUAGCACCUCCUCCACGACUGAGACCACAUACUCCUGACUGAAGGACUCUGUCAUCUACAAGCCACUGAGAGCCUGUCGGUCUCUCAAUGAUCAGAAAGGAAUCUCUGAAGGGUAAUAACAUGUUGCCUGUGCAGAAGGAAAUGUUUUCUAGUCUCAUCAGCUGAGAUUCCAGAGCAGAGUCAAUGCACAAUGAAUAACUGUUAAUGACAAUAAAGCUAUGAAUAUGUAAAAUUGAUGUAUAAGUCACUGUAAAUAGAUGAUGAAAUAAUAAACUUGUUACCAAGAAGAAACAACUUACUGACUUGCAUAACAUAUUUUUAAAUAACAAAAAUAAAAAUAAAGUUUUAUUUGUACAAUAAUU